rnacentral:lncRNA from 1 species
AUAACUAAUGGCUGGGCUUCAGGAGAAAGUGGUCAUUGUCUCUGCAGACUGCAGAGAGGGAGACGGGAGGGAAGGUGUGUUCGCUCUUCCUGCCAAGGGCCCUAGAGACAGAGAAGAGGGAUGUCUUUGUCAUAAGCGAUCACAGGGGACUCCUGAGGACUGGGGAGGGCUCUCUGUAACUUGGGAGGUUCCCCAGUAGGUAAAUUGAUGGAUUUUUCUCCCCCACAGUGCGAAAACAGGAGAUCAUUAAGAUUACAGAACAGCUGAUUGAAGCCAUCAACAAUGGGGACUUUGAGGCCUACACGAAGAUUUGUGAUCCAGGCCUCACUUCCUUUGAGCCUGAGGCCCUUGGUAACCUCGUGGAGGGGAUGGAUUUCCAUAAGUUUUACUUUGAGAAUCGUGAGUGGGUUCGUGCUGCUGAUAUACUCCUGCCUGCCCCUUUACCCCUUUGUCUCUGUCUCCUGCUCACCUUCUCAUCCCAGUUGCCCACUUUUCCCUUA